GGGAAUAUGAGUGUUUGUUUUUUGUAGUUUUUGAGUCAAUUGCAUACCGCUUUUAGCUGUACACAUUAAUUAACUUAAACAGUUUUCGUAAAUGCAUUUCAGAGAAAAGUGAAUUCUGAGAUUUGAAUAAUGCAUCUGACGUGUGGGAUGACGUCACGACGCACGUAUUUUGAUUUUUAACAGUCGUUCAAGACAGACGGAUUCAGUCCCAAGAAGCUAAAGUUUUUCAAAGACAUUUGUAGGGAGGACUUUGCAGCUAAUGAUUUCCUAAGGCUGAACCAAAACCUGCCAGACUAAAGUUGAUUUGGGAGAGAAAGACGUUGUAAACUUAAUCAUCUUGACAUUCUUCAAUGAGUAAUUGUUCAAUUUUUAGGCAAAUACUGUACACUUUGAAUGCUGUGAAUAAAACUAUAUUUUAAAUAUAUUUAAAAUGAA